AUUGAACGCUGGCGGCAGGCUUAACACAUGCAAGUCGAGCGGGGGAAGGUAGCUUGCUACCGGACCUAGCGGCGGACGGGUGAGUAAUGCUUAGGAAUCUGCCUAUUAGUGGGGGACAACAUCUCGAAAGGGAUGCUAAUACCGCAUACGUCCUACGGGAGAAAGCAGGGGAUCUUCGGACCUUGCGCUAAUAGAUGAGCCUAAGUCGGAUUAGCUAGUUGGUGGGGUAAAGGCCUACCAAGGCGACGAUCUGUAGCGGGUCUGAGAGGAUGAUCCGCCACACUGGGACUGAGACACGGCCCAGACUGCUACGGGAGGCAGCAGUGGGGAAUAUUGGACAAUGGGGGGAACCCUGAUCCAGCCAUGCCGCGUGUGUGAAGAAGGCCUUAUGGUUGUAAAGCACUUUAAGCGAGGAGGAGGCUACUCUAGUUAAUACCUAGGGAUAGUGGACGUUACUCGCAGAACAAGCACCGGCUAACUCUGUGCCAGCCGCCGCAGUAA
rnacentral:rRNA from 1 species